CGGCCAUAUUACUUUGAAAAAAAAAAAAAACGGUUCCCGUACGAUCAACGAAGUUAAGUAACGUCGAACCUGGUCAGUACCGAGAUGGGUGACCACUUAAGAAUACCAGGUGCUGUAAG